GACGAACGCUGGCGGCGUGCCUAACACAUGCAAGUCGAGCGAUGAAAUUAGAAACGGAGUCUUCGGACGAAGAGGAAAAUGGAUUAGCGGCGGACGGGUGAGUAACACGUGAGCAACCUGCCUAUCACAUCGGGAUAGCCUCGGGAAACUGGGAUUAAUACCGAAUGAAACAUAAUCACUGCCUAGUGGAAAUGUCAAAGAUUUAUCGGUGAUAGAUGGGCUCGCGUCUGAUUAGCUAGUUGGUGAGGUAAUGGCUCACCAAGGCGACGAUCAGUAGCCGGCCUGAGAGGGUGAACGGCCACAUCGGGACUGAGACACGGCCCAAACUCCUACGGGAGGCAGCAGUGGGGAAUAUUGCACAAUGGAGGGAACUCUGAUGCAGCGACGCCGCGUGAGCGAUGAAGGCUUUCGAGUCGUAAAGCUCUGUCGAAUGGGAAGAUAAUGACGGUACCAUUUGAGAAAGCCCCGGCUAACUACGUGCCAGCCGCCGCGGUAACAC
rnacentral:rRNA from 1 species